CCGUGCUAGAUGGGGAACUGGCGGUGCCUUGUACCCGCAAUCCGCCAUAGCGGGGUUGAAUUCCUCCCUAAGGUCUAGCCUUUCGGCCUCUGCCCUCUCUGAGUGGUGUUGAGGGCUGGGACCCGCGCGACGGACGACUGUGAACCCCGCCAGGCCCGGAAGGGAGCAACGGUAAGCGGAAACGCCAGGCGCCGCGGGACUACCUGGCCUGAGCUAUUUUGAAGGGUACACCGAGGAGUUACGAUCGACGGGAGGUGCACGG
rnacentral:SRP_RNA from 2 species